GAUGAACGCUGGCGGCGUGCCUAAUACAUGCAAGUCGAGCGAACAGAUGAGGAGCUUGCUCCUCUGACGUUAGCGGCGGACGGGUGAGUAACACGUGGAUAACCUACCUAUAAGACUGGGAUAACUUCGGGAAACCGGAGCUAAUACCGGAUAAUAUAUUGAACCGCAUGGUUCAAUAGUGAAAGACGGUUUUGCUGUCACUUAUAGAUGGAUCCGCGCCGCAUUAGCUAGUUGGUAAGGUAACGGCUUACCAAGGCAACGAUGCGUAGCCGACCUGAGAGGGUGAUAGGCCACACUGGAACUGAGACACGGUCCAGACUCCUACGGGAGGCAGCAGUAGGGAAUCUUCCGCAAAGGGCGAAAGCCUGACGGAGCAACGCCGCGUGAGUGAUGAAGGUCUUCGGAUCGUAAAACUCUGUUAUUAGGGAAGAACAAAUGUGUAAGUAACUAUGCACGUCUUGACGGUACCUAAUCAGAAAGCAACGGCUAACUACGUG
rnacentral:rRNA from 1 species